CAACAGCCAAAUGAACAACUUCACCUGAGCCCUUACCUCCAAGGAAGUGCCACAGGGGAACCCAAAGGCCCUUAAUCAUUAAAAAAAACUUUAGAGAUGCUGGCUGAGCCAUCAGUGAGAACAUGGAUGCAUACACAGAACCUACAUCUUGUCAUCUCUGCUCUUCGAGGAAUGGAGCUGGAGAGGCAGAGAAGCAAUGAAGCCGAAUUCUGAGUAGUAUACUCUGAUGAAGAGGAUAUUUUACAAGCAUAGAAAAAGGAGGGCUCCAGUCUUCAAAGAACCAGAGCAUGGGUACCAAAGCCUCCCAGAGCUAGUUCUGGUCCCAGCUCAGCCACUUGUCUGUUUGGGUGACUAUAGAACUCCAGAUCCAGGUGGGCUCUUUCCAUGGAGCCUGAGACUUAUGAUGCCAGGUGCCUGGACAAAGCUUCCAGGUGAUGGUGGCAGUGUCCCAGAGAAGGGAAAGCAUGGCAUUCUGGGAGCACAGGGCCAGGAGCACCCGGGUUUGAAUGUCAGCUCCCCGUUUUCCAGCCCUUGGACGUGUUACCUGUCUGGACAUCAGCCUCAGAAUAAUAAUAGCCCUGAGCUUCAGGUUAAGGAAAUCCUCUUAUGAGAUAGAGCUCAGCUCCUCCUGUAGAAGCUGAAAUUCCAGACACUGGACUUCCCAGUCUCCCUUGCCACUAGAUAUGGACACGUGAUCAAGAUUCCACCAAUCAGAUGGUCUUUGAAUCUGCUAGUGACAAAAAGAAAGGAACAUGCCAAAUCCAU
ensembl:lncRNA C5orf67 chromosome 5 putative open reading frame 67